UUUCCGUAGGUGAACCUGCGGAAGGAUCAUUACAGAGUUCAUGCCCUCACGGGUAGAUCUCCCACCCUUGAAUAUUUAUACCUUAGUUGCUUUGGCAGGCCGUGGAAACACCAUGGGCUCCGGCUUAUGCGUGCCUGCCAGAGGAAACAAACUCUGUUUUUAGUGAUGUCUGAGUACUAUAUAAUAGUUAAAACUUUCAACAACGGAUCUCAUGGUUCUG
rnacentral:misc_RNA from 1 species